CCCUUAGAUGUCCUGGGCCGCACGCGCGCUACACUGAACGGAUCAGCGCGUUUUCCCUUCCCGAGAGGGACGGGUAACCUGCUGAACCCCGUUCGUGGUAGGGAUCGGGGCUUGCAAUUAUUCCCCGUGAACCAGGAAUGCCCAGUAAGUGCAAGUCAUAAGCUUGCGUUGAUUACGUCCCUGCCCUUUGUACACACCGCCCGUCGCUACUACCGAUUGAACGUUUUAGUGAGGUACUCGGACUGAGCCUCAGAAGAUUCACGUCUUUUGUGCUGCUCGGGAAGAUUCCCAAACUUGAGCGUUUAGAGGAAGGUGAAGUCGUAACA
rnacentral:rRNA from 1 species